CUUGCAAUACGGCGCCAGUAGCUUCGAUUGUACUUUCGUUUUAGCAUUGCGUUAACAAUGGAGCUUGAAUCCAUCUCUAUAAUGAUCUGAUUUGCACUGCGUUAACAAUGCAGCUCGAAUCCAUCUCUAUAAUGAUUUGAUCUGAUUUGCCAUAUGUUGUAGAUUAGAGCAGAUAUCUUCUCUUUUCCUUCUUUAUUUGUACUUAUAAGCCUCUGAGAUAGCCACUCCGUAAAGGUUACAGGUUCAUUAUGCACUGCAUGUACAUUGAGAGAGAGAUUUCUUAUUCGUUAUACAGGGUAGAAGUAAUCGUUAUGUUUCAAGCAUUUUAUUUCCUUUCUUAAUUCUGUUAGUUUCUUUUCUAUUAAUUCUCUCACAAAGACACUGUAAUUAGUGCAUGUUUCCCUAUGUCACUGUCUGAUUUAGUGCAUGUUUGCUGCAGCCCAAACUUAGUCCAAGAAGAGAAAAGAUCAUAGGUUUAGUGAAUUUAUGUGCUAAUGAAGCUUCAGUCUAGAUUGGAAUCAAGUCACCUGAAAAUGGUUUUCAUGUAUAUGUUUGUCACAGGUAUAAUGGUUUUCAUGUAGAUGUAUGAAUUGCUGAAAAUGGUUUUCAUGUAUAGUUUUAUAUUAUUUGAUAUUACUGCUUUGUGUAGCUUGAUAUUCUGAUGGGAAAGGCUAGGAGUGCUGGCCAGAGUGCUGACCAGGAGGAGGAUGAUGAAACUCUACUGCUUGUAGAGUAUGUGUAAAAUGUAGAUAUAUGUUGGUGUUCUUUCAUUUCUUUGGUUUUUCUUUUGUUCCCGGGGGGCAAUAUACAGUGCUAAUGAUAGCCCUUCCGAUGGUAGAUUUUUGUAUAAGACUGUUGCAAUUUUAGCCAUAUGAACAAAGUAUUCCUUUCUGUGUAGACUCACAUUGUCUUGAAUCAUGUUAGUGUAUAAUGUUUUUAGUGUUAAUAGAUCUUCUCAGUUUGGUUACUUUGAGUGCCAAAGUCUAGUUAUUACAAGAAGCAUAAAAAGAGGUACCAAUAUUUAUGGUCUGUUUGUGA
rnacentral:lncRNA from 1 species